UACGUAGGGGGCAAGCGUUGUCCGGAUUUAUUGGGCGUAAAGAGCGUGUAGGCGGCCAUACAGGUCAGCUGUGAAAACUCGAGGCUCAACCUCGAGACGUCGGUUGAAACCGUAUGGCUAGAGUCCGGAAGAGGAGAAUGGAAUUCCCGGUGUAGCGGUGAAAUGCGCAGAUAUCGGGAAGAACACCCGUGGCGAAGGCGGUUCUAUGGGACGGUACUGACGCUGAGACGCGAAAGCGUGGGGAGCGAACAGG
rnacentral:rRNA from 1 species